rnacentral:lncRNA from 1 species
GUGUUUGCAAGAUUCAUCAAUAUUAAGCAAAUAGCCUCAUAGAACUUUAGUGUUGCUCUUUCUUUCUUUCUUUCUUUCUUUCUUUCUUUCUUUCUUUCUUUCUUUCUUUCUUUCUUUCUUUCUUUCUUCUAAAUAAAUAAAUAAAUAAAUAAAUAAAUACAUACAUACAUACAUACAUACAUACAUACAUACAUACAUACAUACAUACAUACAUACAUACAUACAUACAUACAUACAUACAUACAUACAUUGUGAAGAUGACAAGACAGAAAAUUAAGAGUGGAAAGAGGCUGGGGCCACCUACUUAUCUGAAGCUACCUGAGCAAAUUUUCAUCUCCCAAUGAAGGUCACAUCAUCAGGGCUUCGUUUGUAGUGGAACUCCAUCUUGGUUGCUUGCCAUGGUGGAACUUCCCACACAAAUCUAAGGAUCCUCCAGUUCUUAUGUGAAGAAUGUCAGCAACCAACAAAGCACCACUUCCAGACUCCUUUUUCCCUUUUCCUUUCCUUUCUUAUUUAGCCUGACUCUAUCGAAAGAAGCAAUCUUCUCUCCAACACCUAGAAAGGGACAACUUCUCUCCAGUCUCACUGAGGAAAAUGACCCUCAUGCCAUCGGGAUUGGGCCUAGCGAAGUCCCCAAAGCCUCAUCGGGAGUGAGAAUACCCAGCUGGGUUUUGAACUUAUUGCAUCAGAGUCCAGUAGGUCAGCGCAUUAAUCAGGAACUCUGAAAUCCAGUGAGAUACUUUGUUGGGAACAGUUACAGUGUUCUGGCUAAUCUUAACUAUAAUUUUAAAGACAUUAGCUAUUUUAAAAAGCUAUUUCCCAUUCCUCCAAGCUUUAUGUCUGCUUAAAAGUUAUUUUCCAUGUUCCUUCAUAGAUGACUUAGAAUCAACAUGUAUGAAUUUACAUCUUUGGCCUACUUAGCAUAAGAGAAUUAUUUGACUUGUUGUGUUCUUUAUUAUCAUCAUUACUAUUAUUCUAUUUUACAUAUUUAAUGUUAUGUACUAAACAUCUUCCCCUGCAAGCAGUGAUAUGCCCCCCUUACAGUUUUCUUUUAUAACACAUUCAGCAUUUUUCUGAGACAUAAUUAAAACAUCAAACAGUUUUCCUGCUGGUUAUGCUAAAAUCUGCAAACUAGAGUCUGCUGGUUUUAUUGAAAAUUAAAAUAUACUGUUCUUAUGCAUAUUUAGAAUGACCUUAAAAAGUAUUUUUUUUAAAAAAUGAUUUUGUAGACCAUCGUAUAAUACUGCUGUACAAUGUUAAAGUACCUGAAUUAAAGAAUGCCUCUAAUUGGUAGCAGGAGAGUUCUUGUUAAAAUAUAAAAUAUGUAUUUUGUUCACUAUUUUCUCAGGCUUAAUGUGCCUAAUUUUCCCAUGCAACUUUAUCCCUAAGGAAAAAUAAAGAAGGAA